CCUACGGGAGGCAGCAGUGAGGAAUAUUGGUCAAUGGGCGCGAGCCUGCACCAGCCAAGUAGCGUGAAGGAUGACUGCCCUACGGGUUGUAAACUUCGUUUAUAAAGGCAUAAAGUGAGGCACGUGUGCCUUUUUGUAUGUCUUUUAUGAAUAAGGAUCGGCUAACUCUGUGCCAGCAGCCGCGGUAAUCAGGAGGCACCGAGCGUUAUCCGGAUUUCUUGGGUUUAAAGGGAGCGUAGAUGGGUUGUUAAGUCAGUUGUGAAAGUUUGCGGCUCAACCGUAAAAUUGCAAUUGAUACUGGCAGUCUUGAGUACAGUUGAGGUAGGCGGAAUUCGUGGUGUAGCGGUGAAAGGCUUAGAUAUCACGAAGAACUCCGAGUGCGAAGGCAGCUUACUAAACUGCCACUGACACUGAUGCUCGAAAGUGUGGGUAUCAAACAGGAUUAGAUACCCCAGUAGUC
rnacentral:rRNA from 1 species